GCCCGGAUGGCGAAAUCGGUAGACGCAAGGGACUUAAAAUCCCUCGAGGGUAACCCCGUGCCGGUUCGACCCCGGCUCCGGGCACCA
rnacentral:tRNA from 1 species